AUUGAACGCUGGCGGCAGGCCUAACACAUGCAAGUCGAGCGAACGGCGGACGGGUGAGUACUGUCUGGGAAACUGCCUGAUGGAGGGGGAUAACUACUGGAAACGGUAGCUAAUACCGCAUACCAUCAGAUGUGCCCAGAUGGAAUUAGCUAGUAGGUGGGGUAACGGCUCACCUAGGCGACGAUCCCUAGCUGGUCUGAGAGGAUGACCAGCAACAUUGGAACGGAGACACGGGCCAGACUCCUACGGGAGGCAGCAGUGGGGAAUAUUGCACAAUGGGCGCAAGCCUGAUGCAGCCAUGCCGCGUGUAUGAAGAAGGCCUUCGGGUGGUAAAGCACUUUCAGCGGGGAGGCGUUAACCGAAGAAGAAGCACCGGCUAACUCCGUGCCAGCAGCCGCGGUAAUUC
rnacentral:rRNA from 1 species